CAGUGCAUUCAUCCAUAAAGUAAAAAGCGCUACUAAAAGUUCUAUACAGUGUAGUGUUUCCUACUUUAUGGACGAGUGGACUGU
rfam:Astyanax mexicanus chromosome 1, whole genome shotgun sequence.